GGACCCGUAGCUCAGCUGGAUAGAGCGUCGGCUUGCGGAGCCGAAGGCCACUAGUUCGAAUCUAGUCGGGUUCACCA
rnacentral:tRNA from 1 species